AUGGCUAUCCCUCUCCUUUUCAUCUUGGCAGAUUGGAUCAGAGACGGGAAGAAAGCAGAGGUGGACUGGAGAUGCAGUCUUGAAGGACUGGGGACCGCCAGCAGGGUGGACAGGAGAACCUUCCUGAGGGGCACCAGCAUGUGCCUAGGGGCAGCAGAGAGGCUGAUGUGUUUGGAUAUAAUUGCCAUACAGCUUAAACGGAGUCAAAGGAUGAACAAUAAGCCAAGGAAGGAUGGAAGAGACUCAUAUGGGGGGAAAACAGCCUACCCUGGAGGUCAAACAUCUUAUUGACCUCCUUGGUCAUGAUUCUGGGCUCAGUGUGGUGGCUGAUAAUUAACUGGAGUCUAACAAAUCUGGGACUGAAACCCAGCUGCCCAUCUAUUAACUGUGAGAAGUUGGACAGAUUGUCUCUCUAAGGCUUGACUUCACCAUCUAUAAAAAGAAGAAAAUGAAGAGUACUUCCUCAGAGAACUGUUUUAAGAAUUUAAAUGAGAUAGCCCAUGCAAAGGGCCUAGCAUAUACUAGGUACAAAUAAAGAUUGGUGAUUUUGUUAUCA
rnacentral:lncRNA from 13 species